rnacentral:rRNA from 1 species
AACGAACGCUGGCGGCAGGCCUAACACAUGCAAGUCGAGCGAGACCUUCGGGUCUAGCGGCGGACGGGUUAGUAACGCGUGGGAACGUGCCCUUCUCUGCGGAAUAGCCACUGGAAACGGUGAGUAAUACCGCAUACGCCCUUCGGGGGAAAGAUUUAUCGGAGAAGGAUCGGCCCGCGUUAGAUUAGAUAGUUGGUGGGUAACGGCCUACCAAGUCUACGAUCUAUAGCUGGUUUUAGAGGAUGAUCAGCAACACUGGGACUGAGACACGGCCCAGACUCCUACGGGAGGCAGCAGGUGGGGAAUCUUAGACAAUGGGGCGCAAGCCUGAUCUAGCCAUGCCGCGUGUGUGAUGAAGGUCUUAGGAUCGUAAAGCACUUUCGCCAGGGAUGAUAAUGACAGUACCUGGUAAAGAAACCCCGGCUAACUCCGUG